rnacentral:rRNA from 1 species
UGGGGAAUCUUGCGCAAUGGGGGCAACCCUGACGCAGCAACGCCGCGUGCGGGACGACGGCCUUCGGGUUGUAAACCGCUUUCAGCAGGGAAGAAAUUCGACGGUACCUGCAGAAGAAGCUCCGGCUAACUACGUGCCAGCAGCCGCGGUAAUACGUAGGGAGCGAGCGUUUUCCGGAUUCAUUGGGCGUAAAGAGCGCGUAGGCGGCCUCUCAAGCGGGAUCUCUAAUCCGAGGGCUCAACCCCCGGCCGGAUCCCGAACUGGGAGGCUCGAGUUCGGGAGAGGCAGGCGGAAUUCCCGGUGUAGCGGUGGAAUGCGCAGAUAUCGGGAAGAACACCGAUGGCGAAGGCGGCCUGCUGGGCCGCAACUGACGCUGAGGCGCGAAAGCUAGGGGAGCGAACAGG